rnacentral:lncRNA from 1 species
CUUGGCCUUCCAAAGUGCGAGCCACCACACCUGGCCCUCUUGUGGUCUUAAAGGAAAGGGGAGGAGGGCAGGUGAAGAACAGAAAUGCCACAUGUCAUAUUUAGUAGGACACCAGCAAGUGGAGCCAUGCUGCAGCUUCAUUUUCCCCAAAGCUGAAACUUCAAAGGCAAAUGACAACAACCCAAUCCAGGCAAGACUGCUAAAGGCUUAGACCCUUCAAGAAUGAAGGUUUGGGUGAUCCCACCAGUCAGGAGGCCAUGACCCGCUGAGGUGCUUGCUGAGGACAAAGGAAAUGAGGAAUGGGUGGUGGCAGGCUCCCGUCAUCAGUGUGGAUGGCAGCCAUGCCUGCAGCUACUCUACCUUCCCCUGAUCCUCCUUCAGCUUCUCCAACUCCUGGGCCAGAUGGGGCAGCUCCAUGACAAUGGGCACUGGCUUCUUCAGGACAUCCAGACCCUCAAGGUCAGGGGCAGUGAGACUGACACAGGUUCCAGUUCAUGCUGCUCGGUUCCAGCUUGUGCUUGCAGGUUACAGGCUGUCCUGCUCUUCUCUAUUUAUAUCCAUUUCCCUCCUAACCACCUGCCCUGUGAACUUAACUCUCUAGCAUCAGACAUCCCAUCCAGGAGGAGAACAUACACACAGUUGUUUAACUAGCCUCACAAUUACUAAGAUCAAAUUUGCACAACAAAUACACACACACACAGAGAAAUAUGUAUCCUAAUGGGUCUGCCUCUCUGAUUAAACCCUUAAUUGAUACACUCAUUCUGUGGACAUCAUUCAGUCCUUUUUCUCCAGCCACUCCGUCCUUGCUCAGUGAACUCACAAACAAAGGGGACAUAGCAGCAGCAAUAGAAGGGAUGCAAGGGCUUAGUAGCCUGGUCUUCUACCCUCCAAGCCUGAACUGACAACAGAUCACAGCCCAUACUGAGGCCCUAAUAUGGCACUAUUCCCCAAGAGGACCAAUCAGCUGCCUGGUGGCAGGUUAAUUACAUCAGGUCACCUCCAUUAUGAAAGAGGAAGUGCUUUGUACUUGCUGGAAUAGACACUUACUAUGGACAUGAAUUUUCCUUCCCUACCCACAAUACUUCUGCCAGAGCCACAGUAAGUGGACUUACAGAAUGCCCUACCCACCGUCAAGGUAGGCCAUAUGGCAUUACUUCUGACCAAGGAAGUCAUUUCAUAGCAAAUUAAGUGGAUCAGCGGGCUCCUGCUCAUGGAGUUUACUAGUCUUACCGUGUUUCCCACCACCCUGAAGCAGCUGGCCCAAUAGAACAAUGGAAUGAGCUUUUGAAGAUUCA